CAUAGGCAGUGGCUUGGCUAAGGGAACCCACUGGAGCCGUAGCGAAAGUGAGUCUUCAUAGGGCAAUUGUCACUGCUUAUGGACCCGAACCUGGGUGAUCUAUCCAUGACCAGGGUGAAGCUUGGGGAAACUAAGUGGAGGUUCGAACCAACUGAUGGGUUGUGGUUAGGGGUGAAAUGCCACUCGAACCCAGAGCUAGCUAG
rnacentral:ncRNA from 1 species